rnacentral:lncRNA from 1 species
CUUUUUUAUUUUAUUUUUUAUUUUAUUUUAUUUAUUAUAUAUAAGUACACUGUAGCUGUCUUCAGAUACACUAGAAGAGGGCAUCAGAUCUCUUUACAGAUGGUUGUGAGCCACCAUGUGGUUGUGGGAAUUGAACUCAGGACCUCUGGAAGAGCAGUCGGUCGGGUGCUCUUAACCACUGAGCCAUCUCUCCAGCCCCCAACAGUAUCUUUUAAGGAGGAGAACUUCCACUAAGAAACUGUGCUUUCUACGGAAGCUGCUGCAGGGCUGACUGACUAAUCAGCACCUCCAGAUUUGUGGGGAGGCUGGGAGGCUGCAAAUGUUGAGCCUAAUGAGAACUUAGUUUCGACUAUUCAGCCUCCCUAAAUAGCCAUUCCUUGCCCACUUGUGUAUCUGACCUAAUAUCCUGUGAGUAACAGAUAAAACCUCUCAGAAUGCAUUAACUUAACAACCUCUAAUAUCCAUCAACUAAAAGGCUAAAUAAAUGUCAUCAGAUAAUAGCUAAGGCAUAUAGCCCAGAUUUCUCUGCAGUGCUGUAGCUGUGCAGAGAAACCUACUUAGUUUCUACCAGUGUAUUUGAAAAACUGGCCUGACUGCUAGGCGGUGGUGGUGAUGGUGUCCGCCUUUAAUUCCAGCACUCAGGAGGCCAGGGCAAGUGGAUUGAGUUAGAGGCCAGCCUGGUCUAUAUGAGAGCUCCAGGCCAGCCAGGGGGGAUAUAAAGAGAAACCCUAUCUCGAAAACAAAAACUGAGAAAAGUGUUUCGACUUAGGACUUUUCUCUGUUAUUAUAAAAACUUACUAAAUGUGUAUUCCUUAGCCAGUUAGUCAGAUCGGGCUCUGGAAUAAACUCGUAUGUCCUUUGAAGUGAGAGCCAUGUUUUGCACCAACACUUUGUGGUGUAGGAGCCCUCUGCCCUCAGUUACCCAUUUUAGAUGUCAGCAAGGCUGACCUCACGCAGUCCCACUCUGUGAACCCAGCACAGACCCACUGAGGAAGCUAUGUAGCAACUGCGAUGACUUGAGGCCAAAGUGUGAAUCUGGUUUCAUUUUUUUUUUCUUUUUUUCAGAGCUGGGGACCGAACCUAGGGCCUUGCGCUUGCUAGGCAAGCGCUCUACCACUGAGCUAAAUCCCCAACCCCGUGAAUCUCGUUUCAAACACCCUGUGCCAGACUUUUUACCAUGAAAAGCUUUUGUGAAUUCCAGCAGCCAUUUUUACCCAGGCCAAGUGGGAACACUUCCCCAGAGUGCCCAGCAGGCCCAUGGUAAGUGCAAACAGGGCUUUUACAGCGCACGAACUGCUGCUAAUGGUGAGACACAACUUCCAUGGCCUCUCUGGGUCUAUAAGGAUGGGCUUUUUCCAUGGAUUUUGUUUAUUUAUGUGUGUGGGUAUCUUGCUGGAAUGUACGUGUCUCUGCACCACGUUAGUGCAGUGUCCAUGAAGACUAGAACAGGACAUUGGAUUCCCUGGGACUAAUUACUAAUGGUUGUUAGCUGCUAGGUGAGUGCUGAGACUUGAGCCUGGGUCUUCUGGAGAAAGAGCUCUCUCUCCACCCCAAGUCUCUCUGUCUCUGUCUCUGUCUCUGUCUCUCUCUCUCACACACACACACACACACACAAAUACUCACAAAUGAUAACCAUGUAACCCAUUCUUCUCUAAAGCUGAGUGGCAUUCACAGUGGAACAAGUGCCUUGCUUCGUGCUUUGGCAAUGACUUUUAUGGGCUUUAGAGCACACAAGUAUCAUAGCAGUAUAUUCUUACACCCAAAAAAAUAAAACAAAACCAAAGCUCCCUGAGCCCAGGCAUGAAUUCACACUGAAUGCCUGCCUCCC